GGACAGAAUUUAUUACUUUGUUGAAUGAAUUAGUGAAAAACAGUAUCCUAUGUAGGACAAAAAAUCUAUUUUCAUUAUAUAUAAAGACAUCCAUGCUCUUUCUUUCUUUUUCUUUUUUCUUCGCAGAUUUUUUCAUUCUUAUUCUCCUGCUCAAAAUCGUCAACGAUCUUCAAGAAAUUCAUUCGAAUCUUCUCCUCUAUCACAAUUCACAACAAC
rnacentral:lncRNA from 1 species